UUGUCGAAUGGUGCGAGUACCUCGCCCUACCCGACCGAAGGAAGAACAAGAUUUACGAUGGCUUCUCCUUUCUUGGUCACCCGCCGUGCCCGUGAUUUAAACACCUCAUGGCGUAACUCUCACGCACCGUUCCCAGGAAGACAUCAUCUUAACAAGAAUGACCCUUAACAGGCCGUCCACGUUCCCCAUCUAUGUGGCUCUCGUCUGCUUCAUACUGUAUAAAGCAGCCUUUGUUCAUGGCGCGUUUGGUGACUGGGAUCUAAAACGCACACUCAAAGUUGAGAUGCAUCUGGGCCAGGACGGUGGAGAGGCUCGCGACGGGACCUAUGAUGUGAUGACGCCAUUCGGGACCGUGUACGGCGUUCCUCCUGGCCAGUACCUCAUGGACAUCCCAUUCAGCCCAAGAAAACCUGCCGUCUUACGUUACAGGAAUAGCAUCUUGCCAGCUUGACAGCGGGAUGUCCCAGUGACGUUUCAAGAGCAGUAAAAUGUUGCUUUUAUAUUUACUUAUACAA